AGANNGGCGAGCCUGAUCAGCCAUGCCGCGUGUGUGAAGAAGGUCUUCGGAUUGUAAAGCACUUUAAGUUGGGAGGAAGGGCAGUAAGUUAAUACCUUGCUGUUUUGACGUUACCAACAGAAUAAGCACCGGCUAACUUCGUGCCAGCAGCCGCGGUAAU
rnacentral:rRNA from 1 species